rnacentral:rRNA from 1 species
UAGGGAAUCUUCCGCAAUGGGCGAAAGCUUGACGGAGCAACGCCGCGUGAGUGAUGAAGGUCUUCGGAUCGUAAAACUCUGUUAUUAGGGAAGAACAAAUGUGUAAGUAACUAUGCACGUCUUGACGGUACCUAAUCAGAAAGCCACGGCUAACUACGUGCCAGCAGUCGCGGUAAUACGUAGGUGGCAAGCGUUAUCCGGAAUUAUUGGGCGUAAAGCGCGCGUAGGCGGUUUUUUAAGUCUGAUGUGAAAGCCCACGGCUCAACCGUGGAGAGUCAUUGGAAACUGGAAAACUUGAGUGCAGAAGAGGAAAGUGGAAUUCCAUGUGUAGCGGUGAAAUGCGCAGAGAUAUGGAGGAACACCAGUGGCGAAGGCGACAUUCUGGUCUGUAACUGACACUGAUGUGCGAAAGCGUGGGGAUCAAACAGG